UAGCUCCUUAUCUUCAUAUGUGAAUCUAUGACAUGGAGUAAUCACAGAAGCCAGGAAAAUAUAAAAGGACCAUGAGUGGUGAUGGGGGAACCAGAAAGAUAUACGUGACAUGAAGUGGGAAAUGGAAACAUGGACCUCCAACUAGAGGAGGGAGCAAUUUAAAAGUUGAAAGAAGACAUGCACCUGUCAUCAUAUUAAAUGACAAAAGAGCUAAAGAGAAGCAGAACACGGAGGACAUGUGAUAAAUAACUAAGAGUUUCAUCUUGGGAAGAAAGUCCAAGGAAAACUACUAAGAAACUUAAGCUGAUCCUCAAGUUUCAAAUAGAAGAAAAAUUUCCCCACUCAACAGACAGCAGAGAAAAGGAAAGAAAAUGCAACAAAACAUAAAAAUGAUAAGUAGAAGUAAGGAAAUAGAAAUUAAAGUUCAUAAGACAAUAAUAUAAUGGAUAUAUAUGAAUGUGUUUAAACCAUCCACGAGAAGACAGAUACUCUGAAAUUGAAAUAAAAUUAUUAGUCUGUAAAACAAUAU